UCUAUUCACUAUAGGUGUGGACCA
rnacentral:siRNA from 1 species